rnacentral:rRNA from 1 species
GCCUCACCGUAAAAUAUUAACUCACAACCACAACGCCAGGGUAUUACGAGCGAAGCUUAAAACCCAAAGGACUUGACGGUGUCCUAUCCAACUAGAGGAGCCUGUUUUAUAAUCGAUGAUCCCCGAUUAACCUAACCCUGUCUUGCCACUCAGUUUGUAUACCUCCGUCGCAAACUUACCAUAUGAAUGCUUACAGUAAGUUCAAUGGUCUUCCACCAAUACGUCAGGUCAAGGUGCAGCUUAUGAUAGGGUAAAUUAUGGGCUACAAUUUCUAAUAUAGAACAUACGGAAUGUUGCAUGAAACACAGCAUGAAGGCGGAUUUAGUAGUAAAAAGAAAGUAUUGUGUUCUUUUUAACAAGGCUCUAGGACGUGUACACACCGCCCGUCACCCUCUUCAACAGUAAUAGAGACGUCUUUAACAUCCUCUGCACGCCUUAGAAGAGGCAAGUCGUAACAUGGUAAGUGUACCGGAAGGUGUACUUGGAUCAA